rnacentral:rRNA from 1 species
ACGAACGCUGGCGGCGUGCCUAACACAUGCAAGUCGAGCGAGGAGAUCCUUCGGGAUGAUCCUAGCGGCGGACGGGUGAGUAACACGUGGGCAACCUGCCUCAUAGAGAGGAAUAGCCUUCCGAAAGGGAGAUUAAUACCUCAUAACAUUGCAGUUUCGCAUGGAACAGCAAUUAAAGGAGCAAUCCGCUAUGAGAUGGGCCCGCGGCGCAUUAGCUAGUUGGUGAGGUAACGGCUCACCAAGGCGACGAUGCGUAGCCGACCUGAGAGGGUGAUCGGCCACAUUGGGACUGAGACACGGCCCAGACUCCUACGGGAGGCAGCAGUGGGGAAUAUUGCACAAUGGGGGAAACCCUGAUGCAAGCAACGCCGCGUGAGUGAUGACGGCCUUCGGGUUGUAAAGCUCUGUCUUCAGGGACGAUAAUGACGGUACCUGAGGAGGAAGCCACGGCUAACUACGUGCCAGCAGCCGC